GAGAGCCAAAUGAAUCGAAAGAUUCAUGUUUGCUUCAGGAAGAGAUCAUAAAAAUUGUAAACUUAAUAGCAAGAUAAUCUACUUUCAU
rfam:Zea mays cultivar B73 chromosome 1, whole genome shotgun sequence.